rnacentral:rRNA from 1 species
GAUGAACGCUGGCGGCGUGCUUAACACAUGCAAGUCGAACGGGAAUUAUUUUAUUGUAACUUCGGUCGAUUUAAUUUAAUUCUAGUGGCGGACGGGUGAGUAACGCGUGGGUAAUCUGCCUUAUACAGGGGGAUAACAGUCAGAAAUGGCUGCUAAUACCGCAUAAGCGCACAGAGCUGCAUGGCUCAGUGUGAAAAAGUCCGGUGGUAUAAGAUGGACCCGCGUUGGAUUGGCUUGUUGGCAGGGUAACGGCCGACCAAGGCGACGAUCCAUAGCCGGCCUGGGAGGGUGAACGGCCACAUUGGGACUGAGACACGGCCCAGACUCCUACGGGAGGCAGCAGUGGGGAAUAUUGCACAAUGGGGGAAACCCUGAUGCAGCGACGCCGCGUGAAGGAAGAAGUAGCUCGGUAUGUAAACUUCUAUCAGCAGGGAAGAUAGUGACGGUACCUGACUAAGAAGCCCCGGCUAACUACGUG